rnacentral:tRNA from 1 species
GCCUGGAUGGCUCAGUUGGUUAAGCAUCUGACUUCGGCUCAGGUUGUGAUCUCAGGUUGUGAGUUGGAGCCCCACACCGGGCU